rnacentral:rRNA from 1 species
UACGAAGGGGGCUAGCGUUGCUCGGAAUCACUGGGCGUAAAGGGUGCGUAGGCGGGUCUUUAAGUCAGGGGUGAAAUCCUGGAGCUCAACUCCGGAACUGCAUUGGAUACUGCCUUGCUAGAGAACUGGAGAGGAAACUGGAAUUUACGGUGUAGCAGUGAAAUGCGUAGAGAUCGUAAGGAAGACCAGUGGCGAAGGCGAGUUUCUGGACAGUUACUGACGCUGAGGCACGAAGGCCAGGGGAGCAAACGGG